rnacentral:rRNA from 1 species
UACGUAGGGGGCAAGCGUUGUCCGGAUUUAUUGGGCGUAAAGCGCGUGUAGGCGGCCAGGUAGGUCGGUUGUGAAAAUUGGAGGCUCAACCUCCAGACGUCGAUCGAAACCAUCUGGCUAGAGUCUGGUAGGGGGAUCUGGAAUUCCUGGUGUAGCGGUGGAAUGCGCAGAUAUCAGGAGGAACACCGGUGGCGAAGGCGGGAUCCUGGGCCAGUACUGACGCUGAGGAGCGAAAGCGUGGGGAGCAAACAGG